AGAGUUUGAUCCUGGCUCAGAACGAACGCUGGCGGCAGGCUUAACACAUGCAAGUCGAACGCUCAUCUUCGGAUGGGAGUGGCAGACGGGUGAGUAACGCGUGGGAACGUACCCUUCAGUUCGGAAUAACCCAGGGAAACUUGGGCUAAUACCGGAUACGUCCGUAAGGAGAAAGAUUUAUCGCUGAAGGAUCGGCCCGCGUCGGAUUAGCUAGUUGGUGGGGUAACGGCCCACCAAGGCGACGAUCCGUAGCUGGUCUGAGAGGAUGAUCAGCCACACUGGGACUGAGACACGGCCCAGACUCCUACGGGAGGCAGCAGUGGGGAAUAUUGGUCAAUGGGCGCAAGCCUGAACCAGCCAUGCCGCGUGAGUGAAGAAGGCCUUAGGGUUGUAAAGCUCUUUCAGCGGGGACGAUAAUGACGGUACCCGCAGAAGAAGCCCCGGCUAACUUCGUGCCAGCAGCCGCGGUAAUACGAAGGGGGCUAGCGUUGUUCGGAAUUACUGGGCGUAAAGCGCGCGUAGGCGGAUAUUUAAGUCAGGGGUGAAAUCCCAGGGCUCAACCCUGGAACUGCCUUUGAUACUGGAUGUCUGGAGUUCGGGAGAGGUGAGUGGAAUUCCGAGUGUAGAGGUGAAAUUCGUAGAUAUUCGGAGGAACACCAGAAGCGAAGGCGGCUCACUGGCCCGAUACUGCGCUGAGGCGCGAAAGCGUGGGGAGCAAACAGGAUUAGAUACCCUAGUAGUCC
rnacentral:rRNA from 1 species